rnacentral:rRNA from 1 species
UUAUCCGGAUUUAUUGGGCGUAAAGGGCUCGUAGGCGGUUCGUCGCGUCCGGUGUGAAAGUCCAUCGCCUAACGGUGGAUCUGCGCCGGGUACGGGCGGGCUGGAGUGCGGUAGGGGAGACUGGAAUUCCCGGUGUAACGGUGGAAUGUGUAGAUAUCGGGAAGAACACCAAUGGCGAAGGCAGGUCUCUGGGCCGUCACUGACGCUGAGGAGCGAAAGCGUGGGGAGCGAACAGGAUUAGAUACCCUGGUAGUCCACGCCGUAAACGGUGGAUGCUGGAUGUGGGGCCCUUUCCACGGGUCCCGUGUCGGAGCCAACGCGUUAAGCAUCCCGCCUGGGGAGUACGGCCGCAAGGCUAAAACUCAAAGAAAUUGACGGGGGCCCGCACAAGCGGCGGAGCAUGCGGAUUAAUUC